UACGGAAGGGGCUAGCGUUGUUCGGAAUCACUGGGCGUAAAGCGCGCGUAGGCGGCUUGGCAAGUGCGGCGUGAAAGUCCUGGGCUCAACCUGGGGACGGCGCUGCGGACUGCUUGGCUGGAGUCCGGAAGAGGGUGGUGGAAUUCCGAGUGUAGAGGUGAAAUUCGUAGAUAUUCGGAGGGACACCGGUGGCGAAGGCGGCCACCUGGUCCGGUACUGACGCUGAAGCGCGAAAGCGUGGGGAGCAAACAGG
rnacentral:rRNA from 1 species